CGAUUUCUUAAGGAAAGCAGCCAUGCGGGACUGAGUCGGGCCGAUGAAGCCGGAACCAAAUCAUCUGGUUUAUCUGCCUGGAGCGAGACUGGGCUCUUUGCAGCAAUGCUGUUCCCCAGAGUUUUCUGGUUUGGCGUCAAGCCCCUGGGACAAAGCCUCACAGGGAAGCAGACCGUGCAAUUGGGCAGAGGACAGCACCCCCCCCCCCCGGCCCCACCUUGUUUUUUUCAAUGUAGUGGCAUCUGUGGUUCGUGUCAAUUCUAAUAACGCUCAAGCCAUCCCACCCUCCAGCCAAACAUUAACAAGGAGGUAAGGUGAGAAGUCCAUAUUAUUUUAAACACAUUUUAAACACAUUGAACAUUUUCAGAAAUGCCAUGUAAGCUAUCGCGGAAUCCCCACCACCCCUAAUACUUCACCGGAUUCAGUGUUCAACCUUCAGUGGAAAAGAGCAACGCAUCCGGAGCCCAGUGUAGUCCCGGCCCUGCUGCUAACCAGCUGUGCGAGGGGGAGCAGCUCCCCACACUCUGCUGUCCCCUCCCCGUGGCCACAAUACAAGCGUUUUCCAGCUAACUCGUGGAGCAGCCACUGUAAGAACCAACGGAAAACAUGAAAGCGUUUUAGAAAUCUACAAUGCAAGGUAUUUAUCACAGCUGGCCUGGUUUAUGUGAAUUGCCUGAGAAGACCUAGAAGGGAGGGGAGAGACGGAUUUUAUUCAGCUAGCUGCCCUCAUCGUCCUCCUGAGCAAGACACAAGGCGAAUUCUUCUCCGUCCACGCAAGCCGAUCGGCACUUACGUACCGCCUGGCUCUUGCUCCAGCUCCUAAGUACCUCCAGGGAAGAAGAUUCUAUCCCACCCAGGCAAUUCAUUCCCCAGUUCAGAAAUCCUCAUUAUCUGGGAGUUCUUUCAAUGUCUACCCAGAGCCCCUUGCACAGCCAAGUGAAUUAAUUGCCUCUUAUUUUGAUCUCGGAGGAGAUAAGGAUUAUCUCCUUCACCCUGGCCUGACCUUGCAGGCUGUUUAGAUUCUUGCUCUGCUGCUGUGUUUUCUUCUUCCUCUCCCCAGUGAAGGAAAGCCAAGAAUUUAUUUUAGAUGCUGUUAAGCGGAAUAUUAAGAAUUUAUCUUACGUGCAGUUCAAAAGAUAAUCUGGCAAGAAAGGAAGCGUCAGAAGGAAGCUGAGGAUAGGCUUCUAGAUAAGGGGAAUAUUUGCAUGUUGCUAACAAAGCCGCCUAUGGCGAGGGCUUCUCCUGAUGUUGAUCACUGAAGUCCCAUCUAAUGCCCAGGAAAGAACCGCCUGGAAGGCAGACAAAAGAAAACAAUGUUUCACAGCAAGGACUGGAGCCCUGAAAAGUCUCUUGCCACCGGCCCAGCAAGGGUAGGGGUCCACAGUGCUCUGUUUUCCAGAAUCUUCCUUUGUAAGACUUGAGAAGGCUCUAAUGGCACUCAGCACAAAAGAUUCAGGGAACAAAAGGGCUGCUGUCCAUAAGGGGGGCCAUUUUGAAUUUGAGGAGAAAAUGGGAAGGGGCAGGCAUGGAAACUGCCACCGUCAGAGUCCACGUUGGCUUAUAUACCAAGGCAGAAACAGGACUUCUGAAGGUCACCACUGGCCUCCCAUCACUGCCGUAGUAAGGCUUUCCUUGUGGCUGUUGUAUGUGAGGCACAUUGCAACGUGGACUGGCCACGUUUUACCUGCCCAGUAGCCACAGGUGGCUCAUGGUCAGCUUACUGGACUUUGCAACUCUGGAUCGUUGCUACUCCAAGGGUGGCCUGCCACCCAGCCACCCCUGUACCGUCUGGUGGUUCACUAGAAAUGCGGAAUCUCAAGCCCUGAAUCAGAAUCUGCAUUUCAGCCAGACCCCCAGGUGGUCUGCGUACGUAUUAAAGUUUGAGCAGCACUAUUGGCUGAAGGCAAACCGGGAGCUUGCAGAAAGCAGAAAGGAAUGCUCUUCUCUUACCUUUCCUUCUUUGUGCCUCUUCCUCCCUCUGGCUUUCCAGAAGGUGCCAGCCCUGGCUCCAUUUGAGACUCCUCUAGAGAGCCUGAAAAAUACGAUACCUGGACUCCGCUCCAGAGAUCUUGAUUUAAUCGGUCCUGGGAGGAGCCCGGGCAACAGGUGUUGUUCAAGAAGUUCCACAGGUGACAGUGACGUACACCUGGGCAGAGAGUCACAGGCUAGCCCAACACUGUAGCCUCGUUCGGUCCUGCCGUGCGACGGGGUGAAUACACCUGAACUCACAUCCUAGAGGGCUUUGGAGUAAGACAGGUCGAGCAAAGCAGCUCACGUAAGCAGUCACAGCUCUGUAAAAUUGCACAAAUACUCCUAAUUGUCCCACAGACUCCUAGUAAUCGAUGCCAUACGUGAAAAUAGUAUCCCUCGGA